UUUUUCUUUGAUUGAAGAAUCUCCAAAGAUCCAUUUGUGAUCGGAACUUUUUUUCAAGUGUGAUAAAAUUAUUUAAUCUGAAAACAAAAUCAUCCAUCGAUAAAAAAUGAUGGACAUAAAGAAAGCUGCUAAUGCUGUUAAUAAUACAACAACAAUUUCAUCGUUGAAUAUCGAAUCGAACGUAUCUUUGGAUUCAUCACCAUCACCAUCAACAACAUCGGCAUCAGCACCAGGAUCUCCAUUUCAUCCAAUUCUUUUACAUCAAUUUCUUAAACAUCAUCAACAACAACAACAUCAGCAACAACAAUCACAAACAAAAACAACAAAUAAUUCAAUAUCAUCAACAACAACAACAUCACCAUUAUCAUCUGAAUCAAAUUCACCAUUAACCGAUAAUAAUUCAACAACAGCAGCACAAUUAUUACAAAAUUAUGCUAUGGUAGCGACAUCUAUUGCUAAUGGAACGAAUUCAAAUCCAAUUCAAAUUGAUACCGGAUUCUGGGAUAAUACAACUGCAACAACAACGGCAUCGAAUUUUUUAACAACCGAAUCAAAUGAAAUUGUUGCAUCAAUGAUGGCUGCCGCUGCUGCCAACAAUCAACAGAAUCAAAAUUCUUCAAAUAAUGAUCAUUCGUCAUCAUUUGCAAAUGCUGCAAGUCAAUUAUUGGCUGCAAUUUCAGCACAAAUGAUCAAAGAUUCUACGACCACUACAUCACCAACAUCAUCAUCAUCAACGACAAAAUCAUUGGGUAAAAAUAUUGUCAACAAACAACAACGAGAAAGAGAUGAACGAUUUUGUAUGAUUUGUGGUAAUAAUAUUAUCGCUCAUAAUCAAUUAGAAUAUGAACAACAUUUAUUAACACAUUUUUCACAAUUAACUGAAUUAUCGGAUACAAUGGCGAAUGGAUCGAUGAAAUUAUCAUCACCGUCAUCAUCAUCAUCAUAUGGUAUACCAUUUUUACAUCAGAUGCAAAAUUUAUUAAACCAAAACCAAACAUCAUCAUCAACAAUAACAACACCAACACCGACAUCAACAUCAUCACAACAACAACAACAGACCAAUGGAUCCACCUCUUCAUUAUCAUCAAGUGCAAUAUCAAAUACACAACAAACCACAACAUUGUCUGGUGCCGAUCAACGAUCAACUACAUCACAACAACAACAAGUGAUGACUAAAAAACGUAAACUAUUAUCAUCACAUCAAGCUCAACAACAACAACAACAACAACAGCUGCAACAACAAUUAAAUAAUACGGAUCAGGAUUCCUCAAUGAAUGAUCCGUUGAUGAUUAUGGCCAAUAAUAACAAUAGUGAUGAACAACAACAGCAACAACAACAGACCAUCAAAGGUAUCAAUAGCCAUUUGUCAUCAUCAUCAACAACAACAACAGCAUUUCCAUGUACAUCCUGUCAUAAAACAUUUGCAACUGAAGUUGAUUUAAAAGCUCAUUUGAUUAGACAUCUUACGCAACAUCCAUUUGUUUGUUUUGCUUGUGGUAAAGGUUUUAAAUAUGAACAUUCAUUAAAUUUUCAUAUAAAAUCAUAUCAUUCUGGUGGUAAUAGUGGUAGUAGUAGCGGCAGUGGAAAUGUAUCCAACAAUAAUAAUUCGGAAAAUUUGAAAUCAAAAAUUGAAACCGAAAAUAAUAAUAAGAAAUUAUCAUCAAACAACAAUAAAAAUAUUGAUCAUUCAAAAUGUACGGAUAAUAAUGAUCAUCAAUUAUCACCAUCAUUGUUAAAAUCAACAAAACGCAAAUGUUCCUCAUCGCAAUCUCAAUCGCAAUUACAAUUGAAUGAAUCGCAAUCAGAAUCGACAACAACAACAUCGAAUGUUAAUAAUAAUAAUAAAAAAUGCAAAUCAAAUAUUGAUGAUCAAUUAAAAUCAAUGAUAACAUCAACAUUGAUUACUGAUGAAAAUCAUAAUCAAACAACAGCACGAUCGUUUAAUUGGUCACAAGCUGAUGUUUCAUUUUUUUGUAAACCACCGGCUAAUUUGGUUGCCGAUUCUCCUAUACAAAUACGUUCGGAAAAAAUUCUUGUAUCAUUAUUGGAUGCAAUCAAUGUACAAACUGAACAGCCAUUAUUAUUCUAUAAAUGUUGUCUUUGUUCAGUUGCAUUUGCAUCAAUGGAACAAAUCACUAACCAUAUUCAACAAGUACAUCAUAUUCUAAUGAUACCUACAACAAUGAAUGGUUCGGAAUAUCUACUUACAUCUAACCAAACAAUAACCGUUGGUGGUCAUGAUCAACAACAACAAAAAGUAGCUGAAAAUGCUGCUGCAGCUGCUGCUAUGGCUGCUUUGUUUGCAAAAACGGCUGCCGGAAUCGAUGGAUCCGAUCAAUCGAUUAUAUCGAAGCUAUCAUCAUCAACAUCAUUACCAUCAUCACCAUCUUCAACAACAUCACUAUCGAUUAAUACAAGAACAACAACUUUACAAUGUGAUAAAUGUUUGGCAAAAUUUAAUGAUACUAUAGAAUUUGAAAUUCAUUGUCAAUUACAUCGAACAUUAGAAAUGGCUAGUUCGAAUUCGAAUCAUUUAACAACAACAACAGCUGCAACAAAUCAACAAUUUCAAUUAUUAAAUUCACUUAUGAAUAAUAAUUCUAUGGCCACGAAUCAUAACAAUAAAUCUGGUCUAUCAAUAUCGAUUCCAACAGCAAUCAAUCAACAACAACAAUUAAAUCAUCAUCAUCAAUCAUCUGUUGUUGAUUUUCGUAAAAUCCUGGCAAAUGCAUCAAAAAAUACUGAUUUUGGUCGUAAAUUUGCUGCAAGUUUAAUGGAUGGAUCUCAUCAUCAUCAACAUACUAUUGGUGGACAAACAACAUCAUCAUCGACUACCAAAGAUAAAACACUAUUAUCUAUUGUUGGUAAUAGUGGUGAUAAUAAUUUUCCACCAUCAAUAGCAACAAAUGAUUCAAAUUCUUUACAUCAUCAUGAUCCAAAUACACCACCACCACCAACAAUUAUACCGACAUCGAUGAUUACUACAAAACAACAAUCAUCAUCAUCAUCUAACAAUAAUAAUUCAACAACAUUGACCAAUUCAUCAUCAUCGGAUAACAAUAACAAUUCAUUAUUAUAUCUUUCUGGAAUUGUACCAGAUAUAAUUGGUCAUCAAACAUUGUUGGCGGCAACUAACGUUAAUCAACAUCCAGUAUCAACUGCUAUGAAUCAAUCACAUUCAAUGAAAUCGAAUAAAUCAAAUAAAUCAACAUUAUCAUCAUCGAUUACAUUGGCCGAUCUAACUACAUCGACAUCAAAUGAAAAAUGUUCAUCACCGAAAACAACACGUAGUAACAGUAAGAAUAAUGGUUCAUCAUCAUCGACAUCAUCUUCAUCAUCAUCAACAUCAUCGACAACAACAUCAUCAAGACAUUUAAAAGAACCUGUAGAUAUUUUCGAAGGUGCUGGACAAAGUUUACCGAUACAAAAAUUUUCUUUAGGUGAUAUUGAAGAGACGGCACCCGGUCAAUUUAAAUGUCGAUUUUGUGACAAAACAUUUGAUCGAGUGUUUAGUGUACAUCGUCAUGAACGUGUACACACUGGAUUUAAACCUUGUGUUUGUAAAACAUGUGGCCGUGGUUUUUCCGAAAAACGUAAUCUUCGUCAUCAUAUUAUACGUUUUCAUUCGGAUGGUAGUGGCCGUGAAUUAUUGAAACGAAAACGUAAACCUAAAAAUGGUACAAUAAACAAUAUUGAUAAUAAUCAAUCAUCAACAGAUACGACUAUUAUGCAGAUGAUGCAACAACAGCAACAAAUGACCACUGAUAAAUUGAUAACAUCACCAUCAUCAUUUAUGUCAUCAUUAUUAUCAUCGGCUGCUUUGGCUGCAUUUCAAUUUAAUAAUAAUCCAGCAACAACUACGACUGUUAGUGGUGGUGAUACAUUAAUUAAUGAUACAAAUAAUGGUAGUCUUUCAAAUCUAAAAUUAUCGUUAGCCGAAUUAAAUCGAUUAAAUUCCUCAUCAUCAUCAUCAUCAACAAAAACAUUGACAACAAAAUCGCGUCGUUCAAAUAAAUCACAACGAAAUGAAUUUGAAAAUGUUAUCAAUGAUGGUGGUGGUGGUGAUGAUGAGAAAACAACAAAUUUGAGCUUAAAUUUAUUGAAAAAUAAUCAAAAAAUGAAUGAAUCGAUUCUCAAUCUAUCACCAUCAUCAGUUGCAGCAAUAGCGUCAUCAUCGAUCAUCACUUCAUCUGGAUCAUCACGUCGACGUAAAAGUGUUAAACCAUCACGAAAAGUUGCGACACAAGAUGAUGAUGAAGAUGGUGAUGAUAAUGAUAAUGAUAAUGUUGAUGAUGAUAAUCAAAAUCAAAAGGAAGAAGAAUCAUCGAAAACGCAACAACAAUCAAAAAUUGAUGAUUUGGAUUCGAUUGAAAUAAAUCGACAACCAUCAUUACAACAGGAUGAUGGUGAAGAAACCGAACCAGAAGAUGAUAAUGAAAUAAUUCAAUCAACAAUUCAAUCGAGUGAUAAUUCAAAAAAUGAUGAAACAAAAAAUGAAGAUAAUUCAGAAGAUACUGAACCGGAAGAAAACAAUGACCAUGAUGAUGGAGAUGAUGAUGAUGAUGAUGAACAGAUGAAUAAUUCCACCAAAGAUAAUAAAGAUUCACGACAAACAAAAAACAGAAAAUCUUCAACAAGAUAAAAUUGAAAUAAUCAUUUCAACAUAACCAUCUUAAUUUAGAUGGCCAAAAUAAUCCAGUAGUAGUGGUAUUAGUGAUGGUAAUAGUUGUCAUUUAAAUUCUUCUUCCAUAAUCUUUAAUAAUCGAUGGUAUUGCGAUACUGGUUAUGAAUUCCCGAAGCAACAAAAUUUCUUUCAUUUUAAACAAAACAAAACAAAAUUUAAUUUAAUUUUUUUGUGAUAUAAAACUGCUCGAAUUAUGUGCAUCAUCAUCAUUUACAUUUACAUUCACAUCAUUUACAUCAUCAUUAUCAUUGACA